CAAUAGCGUAUAUUAAAGUUGUUGCGGUAAAAAAGCUCGUAGUUGGAUUUCUGUUGAGAGCGACCGGUCCAUACCAUGUAUGCGUAUCUGGCUUGCUCUCGGCAUCCCCUCGAUAGACGUUACUGCGCUUGAUUGCGUGGUGCGGAUCUCGGGACUUUUACUUUGAGGAAAUUAGAGUGUUCACGGCAGGCUUUCGCCAGAAUACAUUAGCAUGGAAUAAUACUAUAGGAUCUUGGUUCUAUUUUGUUGGUUUCUAGAAUUGAGAUAAUGAUUAAUAGGGACAAUUGGGGGCAUUCGUAUCAACACGUCAGAGGUGGAAUUCUUGGAUUGUGUUGCGACGAACUACUGCGAAAGCAUUUGCCAAGGAUGUUUUCAUUGA
rnacentral:rRNA from 1 species